rnacentral:rRNA from 1 species
CAGGUACAGCGGGAAGCCACCUGGCGACAGGGCGCGGAACCCGAAAACCUGUCUCAGUUCGGAUUGGAGUCUGCAACCCGACUCCAUGAAGCUGGAUUCGCUAGUAAUCGCGCAUCAGCCACGGCGCGGUGAAUACGUUCCCGGGCCUUGUACACACCGCCCGUCAAGCCAUGGAAGCCGGGAGUGCCUGAAGUGCGUGACCGCAAGGAGCGUCCUAAGGCAAUACCGGUGACUGGGGCUAAGUCGUAACAAGGUAGC